UACGUAGGGGCAAGCGUUGUCCGGAAUCAUUGGGCGUAAAGAGCGUGUAGGCGGCCCGAUAAGUCGGCUGUGAAAGUCCAGGGCUCAACCCUGGGAUGCCGGUCGAUACUGCCGGACUAGAGUUCGGAAGAGGCGAGUGGAAUUCCCGGUGUAGCGGUGAAAUGCGCAGAUAUCGGGAGGAACACCUAUGGCGAAGGCAGCUCGCUGGGACGUUACUGACGCUGAGACGCGAAAGCGUGGGGAGCAAACAGG
rnacentral:rRNA from 1 species